rnacentral:rRNA from 1 species
ACUCAAAUGAAUAGACGGGGGCUCACACAAGCGGUGGAGGAUGUUGCUCAAUUCGAAGCAACGCGAAGAACCUUACCAGGGCUUGACAUGCAGGGAUCAACCCCAUGAAAGUGGGGGGAUUGCCUUCGGGUGUAACCUGUACAGGUGUUGCAUGGCUGUCGUCAGCUCGUGCCUUGAGGUGUUGGGUUAAGUCCCCUAACGAGCGAAACCCCUGCCGUUAGUUGCCAUCGGGUCAUGCCGGGCACUCUAGCGGGACUGCCGGUGUCAAACCGGAGGAAGGUGGGGACGACGUCAAGUCAUCAUGGCCCUUAUGCCCUGGGCGGCAAACGUCCUACAAUGGCCGGUACAAAGGGAAGCAAUGCCGCGAGGCGGAGCAAACCCCAGAAAGCCGGCCCUAGUUCGGAUUGCAGGCUGCAAUUCGCCUGCAUGAAGCUGGAAUCGCUAGUAAUCGCGGAUCAGAACGCCGCGGUGAAUAUGUUCCUGAGCCUUGCACACACCGCCCGU